UGGCAUGUAGCUCAAUGGUAGAGCAGUCGGCUGUUAACCGACCUGUCGUGGGUUCGAUUCCCACCUCGCCAGCUA
rnacentral:tRNA from 1 species